UACGUAGGGGGCAAGCGUUGUCCGGAAUCAUUGGGCGUAAAGAGCGCGUAGGCGGCCCAGUAAGUCCGCUCUGAAAGUCAGAGGCUCAACCUCUGAAUGCGGGUGGAUACUGCUGGGCUAGAGUCCGGAAGAGGCGAGUGGAAUUCCUGGUGUAGCGGUGAAAUGCGCAGAUAUCAGGAGGAACACCGAUGGCGAAGGCGGGUCUCUGGGCCGAUACUGACGCUGAGGAGCGAAAGCGUGGGGAGCGAACAGG
rnacentral:rRNA from 1 species